GACGAAAACGAAAGUAGAAAGUGUUGCUCGGUGGAUUUGAUGCAUGCCCUUUACUAGAAAACAUUCUUCAUUUUCAAGCUUAAAGCACAGAAAAAAUGAGCGUUUCAAAUGCUUAUAAAUUCUCUUCUUAGUGGACAAGACUGCAAGUCACACUGAACAGCAGAUUGUUGUCUCAAGCCAGUGCUGAUCAAUGACAGUUUAGCUGCAGUAUGUCAGAGAAGAGAGGAAAGAUGAGUCUCUCACAGAAACAGAGGUCACACUGAACAGCAGAUUGUUGUCUCAAGCCAGUGCUGAUCAAUAACAGUUUAGCUGCAGUAUGUCAGAGAAGAGAGGAAAGAUGAGUCUCUCACAGAAACAGAGUGUAAGAUCAGGCUCACAUGUGUCUGUGAAGAGUGACCGGUCAAAGGUUU